GAUGAACGCUGGCGGCGUGCUUAACACAUGCAAGUUGAACGAAGUGGCGGAUGGGCGAGUAACACGUGAGGAACCUGCCUUUCACAGGGGAAUAACACUGGGAAACCAGUGCUAAUACCGCAUAGUGAAAGAUGGCCUCGCGCCUGAUUAGCUAGUAGGUGAGGUAACGGCUCACCGAGGUGAUGAUCAGUAGCCGGACUGAAGGUUGAACGGGCGCAAUGGGACUGCGAUACGGACCAAACUCCUACGGGAGGCAGUAGGGGCGAAUAUGGCACAAUGGGGAAACCCUAAUGCAGCAACGCCGCGUGCGGAAUGACGGCCUUCGGGUUGUAAACCGCUUCAGCCAAGACGCGGUAGUGGCAGAAGAAGCACCGGCUAACUACGUGCCAGCAGCCGCGGUAAUAC
rnacentral:rRNA from 1 species